UACGUAGGCAGCAAGCGUUGUUCGGAAUUACUGGGCGUAAAGCGCACGUAGGCGGAUUUGUAAGUCAGGGGUGAAAUCCCGGGGCUCAACCUCGGAACUGCCUUUGAUACUGCAAAUCUCGAGUCCGGAAGAGGUGAGUGGAAUUCCUAGUGUAGAGGUGAAAUUCGUAGAUAUUAGGAAGAACACCAGUGGCGAAGGCGGCUCACUGGUCCGGUACUGACGCUGAGGUGCGAAAGCGUGGGGAGCAAACAGG
rnacentral:rRNA from 1 species